AUUGAACGCUGGCGGCGUGCUUAACACAUGCAAGUCGAACGGAGUGGCGAACGGGUGAGUAACACGUGGGUGAUCUGACUUGCACUUCGGGAUAAGCUUGGGAAACUGGGUCUAAUACCGGAUAGUGCAAGAUGAGCUAGCGGCCGAUCAGCUUGUUGGUGGGGUAAUGGCCUAGCAAGGUGUCGAUGGGUAGCCGGCCUGAGAGGGUGUACGGCCACAUUGGGACUGAGAUACGGCCCAGACUCCUACGGGAGGCAGCAGUGGGGAAUAUUGCACAAUUGGCGGAAGCCUGAUGCAGCGACGCCGCGUGGGGGAUGAAUGCCUUCGGGUUGUAAACUCCUUUCGACAGGGACGCGGUACCUUUAUAAGAAGCACCGGCUAACUCCGUGCCAGGAGCCGCUGUAAUAC
rnacentral:rRNA from 1 species